GACAAACGUUGGCGGUGCGUCUUAGACAUGCAAGUCGAGCGUGAAAGCCCGCAAGGGUGAGUAAAGCGGCGAACGGGUGAGUAAUACUUGGGUAACGUUCCUCCGAGAUCGGGAUAACGCGCCGAAAGGCGUGCUAAUACCGGAUAAGACCACGACUCCUCCGGGGGUUGGGUAAAAGAUGGCGCAAGCUAUCACUGGGAGAUCGGCUCAAGCACCAUUAGCUAGUUGGCGGGGUAACAGCCCACCAAGGCGACGAUGGUUAGCCGGCCUGAGAGGGUGAUCGGCCACACUGGGGACUGAAACACGGGCCAGACUCCUACGGGUGGCAG
rnacentral:rRNA from 1 species